GCUAUGACAUGAUAAUAUUCCAUCACACUGAGUCGAAAUGUGAUUUUGUAGUUGAAUUUUUUUAGUGGUAUAGUUUUGUUUGAACCUUGAAUUAUGCAGUAAUACGAUUUUUGGUAUCCAGAAAAUCAUGUAAUAUUGUUUAGUUUGGGAAGUUAAUAUAUAUUUGCAACCUGAAUUUUCCUUUUGGUUAAGUAAAAUGCUUGUUUCAUUUGAAGUUCAUUAUUUGGGAUGCUAGGAGAGGAAUAUACUUUAAACUGAAACCAAUUUGCUUUUUGUCUGAAUUGGUACCCC
rnacentral:lncRNA from 1 species